CAGUAGCCGCGGUAAUACGUAGGGUGCAAGCGUUGUCCGGAAUUAUUGGGCGUAAAGAGCUCGUAGGCGGUUUGUCGCGUCUGCUGUGAAAACCCGAGGCUCAACCUCGGGCCUGCAGUGGGUACGGGCAGACUAGAGUGCGGUAGGGGAGAAUGGAAUUCCUGGUGUAGCGGUGGAAUGCGCAGAUAUCAGGAGGAACACCGAUGGCGAAGGCAGUUCUCUGGGCCGUUACUGACGCUGAGGAGCGAAAGCGUGGGGAGCGAACAGGAUUAGAUACCCCGGUAGUCCCUGUCUCUUAUAA
rnacentral:rRNA from 1 species